rnacentral:misc_RNA from 1 species
CCGACGUCCAGUCUGUCAAGUCAACAAGAAUCAUGUUUUUAAAACCUUUUAGAGUUAAAACUCAGACCAGCAUUAAAGGAUCGGACAGGAAAAAGGUCAGAUCUACUUUACAGCAGAGUUUUCCUUUGCUGUCGUCAGAAGCUGCUUCCGAUAUUGUUCCUAACAAAGCAGAGAUGACGACAGCAAAAAUCAGCACGCACUCGGGAAUCAACAUAGUUGUGUACUGUGUCGGGAAAAAUCCGGUCCUGAUUGAUGUAGAUGGAGUUGUCUACCCUACAGUAUACACAAUGUGGAAAUACCCUGACCUUCUACCUGUGUUCAGGACACAUUCAAAUGUCUUCUCUAGAUUGGCAGGUGGUGCAGACCUAAUGUUGCCUGGGGUAGUUGUGGAAGAGGAGGUAACUCCUAAAACAUUUGCUCACAUAAACAAAGGAGCAGUGUGUUCCAUAUCACUUGUAGGAAAUCGGAGCCCCAUAGCAGUGGGUACAGCAGCUAUGUCAGGCAGUGACAUGUUUGAUUCAGCGAUGAGAGGAAAGGGUGUCCAUGUUUUACACAUACUAGGAGAUGAACUUUGGGCAUUUGGAGACAAAUCCAAACCACCAUUAUUACCAGAAAAGACUAGGGAAACAGUUUUAGACAUGGCGGUUGAAUCUCAAGAUGGCGACACAGCUGAGGGUGAGGAUCAAUUGGCUGAGGAGCCUGACAUGUGUGAGGAGAGCCAGGAACCAGAACAGCAUCCCUCUGAGGAGGAGCGGUCCAGCGAGGGGGAGGGAGGGGAGGAUCUAGCUGCAUCAACAUACAGGAUGAGCUUGGAAGAGGAAAAGAUAGAGGAAGACAUUGGUACUGUGGAUCAGUCACCUAAAGAAUCCAUGGACGAUCUUUUCAAGUUGUGUUUCCAGUGUGCCAUGAAAAAGUCUCUGAAACCUACAGACCUCCCAGUUCUUACAAGUGCUUUCUACAAACUACAUAUGGUCAAGUUCUGUCCAGCUGAUAAUCACUUAGAUGUCAAAAAGACUUCAUUCAAAAAACUGUCCAAGUUUUUGAAGGAAAUGGAGAAAGCUGGAUAUAUAAAAGUAAAAGAGUUGUCCAAAGGUGUGGAAAGCAUUACAGAGAUGAAGAAAGAUCACCCAGAGUGAGUGAAAAAGGAACACAAUGGUGUAAAGAUGGCUCAGAAUUUAUUUCAAUAUUCAGUUAGAUUUGAAUUGGUGUAAGAAGAAGUCACCAAUUUAUGAUGUACCAGAAAACUGACUGAUGGUCGAAUCAAAUUACGGUACGUUAAACCACCAGAAGGUGCUGGAGUUAUGGAAGCAGCCCCAGCAGAGACGUCAGAUUCACAGUACCACCCACCCCGCAUCACGGAAAUGUUGUCUUUCAAUGCAGCUGUCCUUCCCCUUGUGAAAGAACUUGGAAUGCAAAAGGGAAGUGCAGUAACUGGAUCAGAGUUGCGGAAUAUAAUAAAUGAAUACGUGAGGAAAAACAAUUUACAGGAUGAAAAGAACAAGAGCAAAGUUACACUAGAUCCAUUGCUUGCUUCUAUUGUGCUGAAUAAGGGAGAGAAUGACGUCACGCAACUUCGAUGGGACGAUUUAACUUCAAGAAUCGCUGGCAAGAUGCAAAAUGUGUUCAAAGUGGAGUUUCAAGGACAACCACCUAUCAUCAGGAAAGGCAAAAUGGAAGAAAUCACCCUUAAUGUGUUCCAAAGAGGUUCCAACAAAAAGGUGACGACCGUGGAUAACCUGGAUGUGUUUGGACUGGAUCUGAAGGAGUUUGCCCACGAGAUCCAGAUAGCGAUCCAGUGUAGUUGUACCGUGUCUCAAAGUAGUUCCAACAAAAUGCAAGUGGUCAUCCAGGGCAACCAGAUUGCCUUUGUUGCCGAUCUCUUGACAGGAAAAUAUAGAAUUCCAAAAAAAUACAUCAAAGGUUUAGAAAAGGCACCAAAAGGAAAACGAAAAUAAACUGUGAUACAUUAGCUGAUUAUUUAUAUUAAAAAAAAAAUAAAAUUGUACAAU